UGCUAAUCCAAACCAACUAACAUCAAAGUUUUGCGGGAAGAAAUCAUAUAGUGAAAUGGAAAUUAAUGAAGUUCGAUCAGAUUGGGUUAUGUUAGUGACUCAGUUAAUCAUUACUCAUGUUUGAAGUUGGCAGUGUUUUCAAUAUGGAUCAUUUUGGGGGUUGCUCUAUUAUGAUUGAUGUAUAGUUGGCAUAUUGAGAGGUGAAGCCAAGUAGACAUGGUUGUACAAAAAGGCAUAGGUCAUUCUAUUAACAACGUCACUACUGCUCUUGAUGAAGGACACCCACAAACAAUUCAAAAUAUAUCAUCAAAAGAAUUUUGAGAUUGAGCAUCUAGAAAGUGAGUUACAACCAUCCUUUUGCACUUGGAAGAAAAAUGAUGUAAAACUAGAUGUAGUGAAGGUUAUGAACAAUUCAAAGUUGAAGAAGAAGUUGUAAAAUUGUUGGUUUUAGUUGUUGAUUAUGUAUGAUGUUUAUGGAUAAAUUGUAAUA